AUGAUUUAUUAUAUAUGUGAUUGUUAUAUAAAAGUAAUGUAUAAAUAUACAGAGUGUAUUCGUGAGACGUAAAGAGUUCGUAAUAAUUAUUUUUUAUAAUUUUUGAAAUAGAUAAAGAUAAAAAUGGAUGUUGUUAAAAAAAAAAAAA